CGAACGAACGGCACGGACGAUGACGAACGAACGGAACGGACACACACCCGGUCUGUCCGCGCCCGACGCCACCGUUCGGCUAGGUUCAGAGUCCCAUUGAUCGGGGCUGCCCAGAGCGGGUGCCAGGCCCAUUCGGAGCCGGCGGCGAUCGGCGGUGUUUCUUUUCGGCCCGAGAGUCGGGUUGCUUGGGAACGCAGCCCAAAGCGGGUGGUAAGCUCCAUCCAAGGCUAAAUACAGGGACGAGUCCGAUAGCCGACAAGUACCGCGAGGGAAAGUUGGAAAUUACUUUUGAAUUUUACCAUUAAGCUGUAAUUAGCAGAACCAUAUACACGUGCACCCAUGGCGGUGGGCAACUUUGUAUACGAUUCUAAUGAUUGCGGUUACAUUACAAAUCAGGCUGAAGAGGAAUAGACAAUCGGUAAGAUUUGUUAAAUCCGAAACCGGUCCCUGUUUAAUAAUGUGUUUUUUAAGGUGAUUUUAAAUAUCUUGCCCGCUUAUGUUUUGGUAUUCUGCUAUAUUUCAUGUUGAGAACAAUUUAGGUCUUAAUAGACACAAGAUGUGAUCUAUUUCUAGCACAUUAAUUGUCCACGUUAGUGGUCAACGUUAUAUAUAAAAAUGUACCUUAAUCCCCUGAGAUUGCAGAUACUAUUUCUGAAUCUCUUUGAUUCUUUAAACGUGCUAGCCUCCUGGUAAUUAAUCGAUAUUAAUUAAUAUAUGAUUAAUUACCAUAUUUUAUAAUAAUAUAUAUAUAUAUAUAUAUAUAUAUAUA
rnacentral:ncRNA from 1 species